CGGGGACGGGGUACGGGUAGGUAAGUAAUGUCCGGGAACGUCGCCGAUGGAGGGGGAUAACUACUGGAAACGGUAGCUAAUACCGCAUAACGUCGCAAGACCAAAGAGGGGGACCUUCGGGCCUCUUGCCAUCGGAUGUGCCCAGAUGGGAUUAGCUAGUAGGUGGGGUAAGGCUCACCUAGGCGACGAUCCCUAGCUGGUCUGAGAGGAUGACCAGCCACACUGGAACUGAGACACGGUCCAG
rnacentral:rRNA from 1 species